UUAACACAUGCAAGUCGAGGGGCAGCAUUUUAGUUUGCUUGCAAACUGAAGAUGGCGACCGGCGCACGGGUGAGUAACACGUAUCCAACCUGCCGAUAACUCCGGAAUAGCCUUUCGAAAGAAAGAUUAAUACCGGAUAGCAUACGAAUAUCGCAUGAUAUUUUUAUUAAAGAAUUUCGGUUAUCGAUGGGGAUGCGUUCCAUUAGUUUGUUGGCGGGGUAACGGCCCACCAAGACAACGAUGGAUAGGGGUUCUGAGAGGAAGGUCCCCCACAUUGGAACUGAGACACGGUCCAAACUCCUACGGGAGGCAGCAGUGAGGAAUAUUGGUCAAUGGGCGAGAGCCUGAACCAGCCAAGUAGCGUGAAGGAUGAAGGCUCUAUGGGUCGUAAACUUCUUUUAUAUGGGAAUAAAGUUUUCCACGUGUGGAAUUUUGUAUGUACCAUGUGAAUAAGGAUCGGCUAACUCCGUGCCAGCAGCCGCGGUAAUACGGAGGAUCCGAGCGUUAUCCGGAUUUAUUGGGUUUAAAGGGAGCGUAGGUGGAUUGUUAAGUCAGUUGUGAAAGUUUGCGGCUCAACCGUAAAAUUGCAGUUGAAACUGGCAGUCUUGAGUACAGUAGAGGUGGGCGGAAUUCGUGGUGUAGCGGUGAAAUGCUUAGAUAUCACGAAGAACUCCGAUUGCGAAGGCAGCUCACUAGACUGUCACUGACACUGAUGCUCGAAAGUGUGGGUAUCAAACAGGAUUAGAUACCCUGGUAGUCCACACAGUAAACGAUGAAUACUCGCUGUUUGCGAUAUACAGUAAGCGGCCAAGCGAAAGCAUUAAGUAUUCCACCUGGGGAGUACGCCGGCAACGGUGAAACUCAAAGGAAUUGACGGGGGCCCGCACAAGCGGAGGAACAUGUGGUUUAAUUCGAUGAUACGCGAGGAACCUUACCCGGGCUUAAAUUGCAACAGAAUAUAUUGGAAACAGUAUAGCCGUAAGGCUGUUGUGAAGGUGCUGCAUGGUUGUCGUCAGCUCGUGCCGUGAGGUGUCGGCUUAAGUGCCAUAACGAGCGCAACCCUUAUCUUUAGUUACUAACAGGUGAUGCUGAGGACUCUAGAGAGACUGCCGUCGUAAGAUGUGAGGAAGGUGGGGAUGACGUCAAAUCAGCACGGCCCUUACGUCCGGGGCUACACACGUGUUACAAUGGGGGGUACAGAAGGCGGCUACCUGGUGACAGGAUGCUAAUCCCAAAAACCUCUCUCAGUUCGGAUCGAAGUCUGCAACCCGACUUCGUGAAGCUGGAUUCGCUAGUAAUCGCGCAUCAGCCAUGGCGCGGUGAAUACGUUCCCGGGCCUUGUACACACCGCCCGUCAAGCCAUGAAAGCCGGGGGUACCUGAAGUACGUAACCGCAAGGAGCGUCCUAGGGUAAAACUGGUAAUUGGGGCUAAGUCAUA
rnacentral:rRNA from 1 species